GUAGGGGGCAAGCGUUAUCCGGAUUUACUGGGUGUAAAGGGAGCGUAGACGGCAUCACAAGUCAGAAGUGAAAAUCCGGGGCUCAACCCCGGAACUGCUUUUGAAACUGUGGAGCUGGAGUGCAGGAGAGGUAAGCGGAAUUCCUAGUGUAGCGGUGAAAUGCGUAGAUAUUAGGAGGAACACCAGUGGCGAAGGCGGCUUACUGGACUGUAACUGACGUUGAGGCUCGAAAGCGUGGGGAGCAAACAGGAUUAGAUACCCUGGUAGUCCACGCCGUAAACGAUGUCGACUUGGAGGUUGUGCCCUUGAGGCGUGGCUACCGGAGCUAACGCGUUAAGUCGACCGCCUGGGGAGU
rnacentral:rRNA from 1 species